GGUCAAUGAUGUCGUGGCAUGUAUCAGCUGAAUCCAAAGUUGAUGUGAGUUCCAAAAUUAUACUGAGACUU
rnacentral:snoRNA from 10 species